AUGCAAGUCGACGGCAGCACGGGUGCUUGCACCUGGUGGCGAGUGGCGAACGGGUGAGUAAUACAUCGGAACAUGUCCUGUAGUGGGGGAUAGCCCGGCGAAAGCCGGAUUAAUACCGCAUACGAUCUACGGAUGAAAGCGGGGGACCUUCGGGCCUCGCGCUAUAGGGUUGGCCGAUGGCUGAUUAACUAGUUGGUGGGGUAAAGGCCUACCAAGGCGACGAUCAGUAGCUGGUCUGAGAGGACGACCAGCCACACUGGGACUGAGACACGGCCCAGACUCCUACGGGAGGCAGCAGUGGGGAAUUUUGGACAAUGGGCGAAAGCCUGAUCCAGCAAUGCCGCGUGUGUGAAGAAGGCCUUCGGGUUGUAAAGCACUUUUGUCCGGAAAGAAAUCCUUGGCUCUAAUACAGUCGGGGGAUGACGGUACCGGAAGAAUAAGCACCGGCUAACUACGUGCCAGCAGCCGCGGUAAUACGUAGGGUGCAAGCGUUAAUCGGAAUUACUGGGCGUAAAGCGUGCGCAGGCGGUUUGCUAAGACCGAUGUGAAAUCCCCGGGCUCAACCUGGGAACUGCAUUGGUGACUGGCAGGCUAGAGUAUGGCAGAGGGGGGUAGAAUUCCACGUGUAGCAGUGAAAUGCGUAGAGAUGUGGAGGAAUACCGAUGGCGAAGGCAGCCCCCUGGGCCAAUACUGACGCUCAUGC
rnacentral:rRNA from 1 species